rnacentral:rRNA from 1 species
UACGUAGGGGGCAAGCGUUAUCCGGAUUUACUGGGUGUAAAGGGAGCGCAGGCGGUGCGGCAAGUCUGAUGUGAAAGCCCGAGGCUCAACCCCGGGACUGCAUUGGAAACUGUCGUACUUGAGUAUCGGAGAGGUAAGUGGAAUUCCUAGUGUGGCGGUGAAAUGCGUAGAUAUUAGGAGGAACACCAGUGGCGAAGGCGGCUUACUGGACGAUAACUGACGCUGAGGCUCGAAAGCGUGGGGAGCAAACAGG